GGGGGGCAAGCGUUGUUCGGAAUUACUGGGCGUAAAGGGCGCGCAGGCGGUUUCGUCAGUCAUGGGUGAAAGCCCCGGGCUCAACCCGGGAAUGGCCUGUGAAACCACGGAACUGGAGUGCUGGAGAGGGAAGCGGAAUUCCCAGUGUAGCGGUGAAAUGCGUAGAUAUUGGGAGGAACAUCGGUGGCGAAGGCGGCUUCCUGGACAGACACUGACGCUGAGGCGCGAAAGCCAGGGGAGCGAACGGGAUUAGAUACCCCGGGUAGUCCUGGCUGUAAACGAUGAAUACUUGGUGUAGGGGGUAGGAAAGUCCCCUCUGUGCCGAAGAGAACUCGAUAAGUAUUCCGCCCGGGAGUACGGCCGCAAGGCUG
rnacentral:rRNA from 1 species